AUUGUGUUAGCUAAUGCUGUUGAAAGACUCAUUGAUGAUUAGAAAACACUUGUUCAGUUAUGUUAGCACAUGAAUAAAAGUGAAUGAAUUUGUCUGUGUGACCUCAGACUUUUGAACGUAGCGUACAUUCAUGCCACAGUUUGUUCUUUUACUACACUUGAUACACAUUGAAAUGACAUUUUUGUGCCCUGCAUUGUCGUUUAUUUUCACUUUUCUGCUGCAUGCAUUUUGUCUUUUUUUCUACUUUCAUCACAUCUUUCCCCCCCGACUUCUUAUGCACACACAGUUUGAUUUGAUUGUGCGUCAACAAUCAUUCGCUGAUAUAAAAAUUACAUUUUUGCCCCCCAUGUUAUCAUUUUUUUCUCUGUAUACAGUUUUCCUUUUUUCUGCUCUCCUCUCAUCUUUGUCCUCCUGGCUUUGAAGUCGUUCCCAUGGCUUCUUAUGCACACACAGUCACACACUUGCACAAAAAGACACACUCUUUCUCCGCCUUUGCGGGGAUGACAGUAAUGGGAUUAUAGGAUUUCUGUUAUUCCCAUCCUCCUAAUGCGGCAGUGCAUUACCGCCCUUCUUAUUGGUGGAUUAAGCAGCGGAGGGAAAGGCGAUUGGCCUGACCUGAUGGGGAAAAGUGAAUUCCCACAAUGGCUGGUCCGGUAUUUAGCAGCAGAGCAGCACAGCCGGCUAAACUGAGUCACACGGAGCUGUGAGGGGGACGAACACAUCGAACAUCCAGCUGAAGUGUUAAGAAGGAAAACAGAAGCAGAUCAGCGUUUGUUUUGUGCUUUUGUUCCCGUCUCGGUUGUAAUUGUUUUUGCUGUAAUCCCACGCUUUCUGUGAGCAGUCGCUGCCGCUCCCUCUGAUGGUAAAUCAUUCAUUCCUGACUGGAGUCAGAGUCCACAGAGUUACAGAAUACAGCUCAGACAUGUCGGGUUUAUUUUCAGCAACCAGUCAUUUAUCAGAUUAGAUUAACUUUAUGGUCGUUACACAUGUACAAGUGCAGGUAAAGAAAUGCAGUUUGACAUCUAACCAGGGGUGCAAAAGGCAGCAAGUGCAAGAUUUAGGAAAAAAGUGUUGAUGGGUAUACAGGGUGAAUGAGACUUGAUAUAUUUUACAAAUGAAAUGGUUUGUUAUAGACGUAAUGCACAAAAUAUUGAGAUGCUAUGGACACAUUUACAGACUGUAAUACACAGUAGGAGGUGCAGUAAACGCACUAUGUCCACAGACACUGUAUAGAGCUAAAUAUGAAUGGAUAUAGAGACGAUAUGCAGAUUAUUGGGAUGCUGUAAAUAGACUGUACAGGUGCAUUGAACAUGCCAGACGAAUAGACAAAAUAUGGAUAAAGGAUGAAUGCUAUGGAGAUAUUAUCCAGACGGUGAGUUUCCAUUCAUUUGUCUGCAGACUUCAGUACACUUGGGGUUUGCCUGCUAUUUCUGUGCUGUUUUAUUCCAAGGCCUCGGCGCGCUAACACUCUGAUUAUGAAGAUUUAUACUCAGACACACACAGCUCACCCUUCAGGCACGUUUAUAACAUCAUAUUAAAUGGAUGCUAGCAGGCCGUUACGCAGCUAUCAGGGAGAUGACGGCGUGUGGUGUUUGGAUGGAUGUUAGUGUGCUAAACAGAUUAUACAUUCAAUCAGUGUCAGUGCUCAGCUUCUGGGUUGUAACACUUGUUGAAGGAUUGCUUCAGACUUCAGCCGCUUCGUAGCUCGUUUACAGAAAAGUGAUGACUCAGGCUGGCAGAGUGAACUCAAAGUACACUCCUAGACACCAUCAGGUAACAUGCACGCUCCUAGACACCAUCAGGUAACGUGCACGCUCCUGGACACCAUCAGGUAACGUGCACGCUCCUAGACACCAUCAGGUAACGUGCACGCUCCUAGACACCAUCAGGUAACGUGCACGCUCCUAGACAUCAUCAGGUAACGUGCACGCUCCUAGACACCAUCAGGUAACGUGCACGCUCCUAGACACCAUCAGGUAACGUGCACGCUCCUAGACACCAUCAGGUAACGUGCACGCUCCUAGACAUCAUCAGGUAACAUGCACGCUCCUAGACAUCAUCAGGUAGCUUGCACACUCCUAGACAUCAUCAGGUAACGUGCACAAGCCUCAGCUGCUGUAACCGAGAGCAUCCGAGCUUUGUGCAUCCGUCUGCUGCAGCGGCUCACCGUGUGGCUUAGGCUAAACCUGAUGUACUAAUAGGGGAUUAGGUGUUUUUGUCACCUCGUAAGUCGGCCUGGUGCUGAAACCCACUGAGUGAGAUUAACUCCCCCUGACUGCCACAGAGCCUGUCUGAUGGAGGAAGUUCUGCUUUUAUGUGCUUCAGUUUACGCACACAAAGACACAAUAAUCAAUAAUGCUGCAGUUCUUUACUACAAAGGUGUAAAAUUAUGAAUAAUAUAUGAUUUGUACUCCGUAUGCUUGUGAUCCUAUUUGCAACUUUUUCAUUCCCAAGUCUGUUUAUUUAUCGAGAUUGAAGAAUAUGUUUUUUGUUUUUGGGAUGCCAAAUACUGGUGAUCAAGAAAAUCUAUAUUUUAACGUUUUACCAGCAUGUGGUAGCAGAGAACCUGUCAGUCGUAACUAAACGUCGGUGAUAAUAACUGAAUAUGUAAAAUAAAACAGGAGGGAUUAAAUCAUCUGUUUAUGUGAGAUUGAUCAGUUUGAUUAGUUUGUCUUUUACUUUUAUUUCCCGCUAAGGUUUGUAUCUUAAAGCUUUAUUAAUUAUUGUUUUCCCCUGUUUCAGGUUAAUCUGUGGCCUCCUGCUAACUUUCCUGCUAGCUGUUAGCAUAGCCUUAGCCGCUGUAGAAGCUAAUUUCCCGGUUUGUGGCUACGACUUGUGUUUCUUAGUCAGCUUUUGUGUUUGAGAGGUCAAGAACUGACGAAGAAACGAUGCCGAUAAUCAGAAAAAAAAGAAAGUUAUCGACCAGGCGAACAAUUAGUCUAACCUGAGUUUUAUAUAUUUGCUUAAUUUUUGCUAAACGCUGUGAAUAACGAGUGUCUUGUG